rnacentral:rRNA from 1 species
UACGGAGGGUGCAAGCGUUAAUCGGAAUUACUGGGCGUAAAGCGUGCGCAGGCGGUUAUGUAAGACAGGUGUGAAAUCCCCGGGCUUAACCUGGGAACUGCAUUUGUGACUGCAUAGCUAGAGUACGGUAGAGGGGGAUGGAAUUCCGCGUGUAGCAGUGAAAUGCGUAGAUAUGCGGAGGAACACCGAUGGCGAAGGCAAUCCCCUGGACCUGUACUGACGCUCAUGCACGAAAGCGUGGGGAGCAAACAGG